rnacentral:rRNA from 1 species
UGAGGAAUAUUGCACAAUGGGGGAAACCCUGAUGCAGCAACGCCGCGUGAAGGAUGAAGGUCUUCGGAUUGUAAACUUCUUUUCUGCGGGAAGCGGUACCGCAGGAAUAAGACACGGCUAACUACGUGCCAGCAGCCGCGGUAAUACGUAGGUGUCGAGCGUUAUCCGGAAUUACUGGGCGUAAAGGGCUCGCAGGCGGUUUGACAAGUUUGACGUGAAAUCUCCGGCUUAACUGGGAGGGGACGUUGGAGACUGUCAGACUUGAGGUAGUGAGAGGGAGGCGGAAUUCCCGGUGUAGUGGUGGAAUGCGUAGAUAUCGGGAAGAACACCAGUGGCGAAAGCGGCUUCUGGCACUGAUCUGACGCUGAGGAGCGAAAGCGUGGGUAGCGAACGGGAUUAGAUACCCUGGUAGU